UUUUUCGGUGCUUCGUAUGAAGCCUAACAAGGAAUCCGGUGUGAAUCCGGAGCAGUCCCGCUGCUGUAUAUGGCGACGAGGGCGGAAAAUGUCACUGGCGGCGCUCGCCGCUGGGAAGACCCGCCUGAGGAUGACCCAUGAGCCAGAAGACUUGCCGGGAGAGA
rnacentral:ncRNA from 1 species